UUUAUUUUUAUUUUAUUUUUUUAAGUUAAUGUAUUUAGUCAAAAAAGUACAUUAUUCCUUGGUUACAAGAAUUAUAUUAUUUCCCUCCCUCCCUUUCCCCCAUCCUUCCUGCAGCCAACCCGCAAUUCCACUGGGUAUUACAUGUGUCCUUGAUCAGAACCCAUUUCCAUAUUAUUGAUGUUUGCACUAGGAUGAUUAUUUAGAGUCUCUCCUCAGUCAUAUCCCCUCCACCCAUGUAAUCAAGCAGUUGUUUUUCUUCUGUGUUUUUACUCCCACAGUGUUUCCUCUGAAUGUGGAUAGUGUUCCUUCUCAUAGAUUCCUCCGGGUUGUUCAGGAUCACUGCAUUGCCACUAAUGGAGAAGUCCAUCACCUUCGAUUGUACCACAGUGCAUCAGUCUCUGUGGACAAGAUGAGAAGACAACCAGAACCACCUGAAAACAAGCUCCAAAUCAUUAAUAGUAAGAGAAAUGCACAAUUAAACAACUUUGAGGUUUCCCCUCACACCCUGCAAAUUGGCAAAGACAGAAAGUGGAAGUCGUUCAUGUGGAGAAGCUACAAAAAAAUGGUGCACUUACAAAGAUGGAGGUCAUCGAUUUAGCUGAACCUCAACGCCUCUUAAACUUUAAGCUUUCCAAUCAAUCCCAUAAACUUUAGAGAAGGGAAAAAGUCUUUCAAACUGUAGCUAUUAUGCAGAAAUCAUGUUUGGACAGGCUGAAAAAACUUGGUCAUGCACCAGAUAUAAAACUAGUUAGAACUGCAUUCAUUUGAGAGGUUGGAGCAAUUGCGGCAUUCCAGCACACUCCCAGGAGCAAAGGGAGGACUGAAAUGUUGCAGAGAAGGGAAGGUAGAUACUGGACAGGGUCCCUGGCUCUACAAAUAUCUCAAAGAAGAUCUAGGCUGAAGGAAGUCUUGCGAAAUGGUCAACUCCUUCCCCAACUUCUGUUGCUGGUACCUGUUUAUCCAUACUAUACUAUAUAAUCUGUUGUUUUGUUACCCAAAUGUUUCUAAUAAAUAGAAUUUUGCCUCAACCACAAAGAGGCCAAUGGUUAACUAAAUAUAGAAUAAAUGUAAAGUUAGGGAGAGAACCUAACACUUGACUAAAUGUUAGAAAUUUUCCUAAUUCGGGGCUUAGAGCAAUUAUAACUGAACUUAUUAUUUUAAAUAAACUCCUUAAAGUGGAAGAAGGAACUAUGUAGACCUUAGAGGCAAUCAGAUUGCCCCUAAGGCUUAAAAUGAUGUAAUUAUUAUAAAAGGGAGUUAAAAAUUGAAAAUCUUCAUCCAGGAUGUUUUUUUCUUAGUGACUUUAAAUAUAAUGCUAAAUAUUUAAUUAUUUUUUGCUGUUACUGUUGUUUUGCUUGCUUUUCAGUAAGAUUUCCUGAAUUCUUGCUCAAACCUUAUAUUUUAAGUAUUAUUAUUUUUAAACAUUUUGAUUAUGUUACUUUUAUUUCUGACCUAUGUCUAAGAGGACAUUUAUAAUUAUUAUAAUCUGAUAACUGUGGUUGACAACUGUAAGAUGUCAUCUGUGUCAAGUGUGUUGACAAUUGUGUUGUAGAAUUGAUCAAAUUGUUUGGCCAAAUUCAUUCUUGCUGUUUGGUGUUUGGCUAAAUCUUGGAUGAUGGCACAACAUUGUGAGGGCACUGAAAAAUAUUACUAAUUUAUCAAUGUUAUUAUUCAUAAAGGAUUAUUGAUUUGCAGAACAGAACCUGUGUUUCAUGAAAAUGUUGUAAACUUCAAGAUGAUUAGAGUAAGGGGAAUUUAGAGGCUGUAGAAAAGUAUAUACAGAGGCAAGCUCAAGGGCAUCCACUAAGGAUACUGUCUGGGAAUUACCAGUCAUUUAAACAUGGAAGACCACCUGAAAGGGGGGCAGUUAGAUGGCCCAGAGGAUAGAGAGCCAAGACUAGAGAUGGGAGGUCCUACUCUCCAAUAUGGCCUCAGACACUUCCUAGCUGUGUGACCCUGGGCAAGUCACUGAAUUCUUCAUUGCUUAGCCCUUAUUACCCUUCUGCCUUGGAACCAAUGCUCAGUACAGAUUCCAAGAUGGAAGGUAAGGGGUUAAAAAAAAAAGCCUAAAAGAAUGUGUAUCAGGUGCAGUUUUGGAAAUCAAUUUACAGUUCUUCCUUUGAGGGGGAAGUGCACUUGAAGCAUUAUUGAAUGGAAGUGAUGAGUCUUUAUGGCAAUUGAGAUCUAGGUUUGAAAACAGACUUGAGGUUUCACCUAUCCAGAAUGUUAAUAAGAGGACUUUUUUCUGGUAGAAACACACUUAAGUGAUACUGAGUCUAUAUGGGCCAAGCAUGGUUUUUCAGCUUCUGACUAGAUGCUUAUGGGAGGCAAAUUUCUCCAAUCAAAUAGCAAUGUAUGUGGUUUUAAAACUGUAUACACUGUUAGAGGCAAAGAAAUAAAUAGCUGUGUGACCCUGGGCAAGUUACUUAACCCUGAUUGCCUGUUCUUUUUUUAAUAAUUCUAAGACAGAAAUUAAGGAAGAGAGAGGGGAAGAAAGAGAAAGAGAGAGAGAAGGGGAAAGAAAAGGAAAAAAAGAAAAGGAAAGAAAAGAAAAAAGGAAGGGAGGAAGAGAUAAAAGCAAAGAACAAAAGAAAAAGGAAGGAAGAAAGAAAGUUAAUGGUGAAUAAGAAAACAAACCAUGGAAUCAUUUAUUUAAACAACAUACCAAAGUGUUAGGGUCACGUUUAUAAUUUCUCUGUUGUUUUUCAGUCAUUUUCAGUCAUGACCAAAUUUCCAUGACCCCAUUUGGGGUUUUCUUGGCAAAGACACUGAAAUGGUUUACCAUUUUCUUCUCUAGUUCAUUUUAUAAAUGAGGAAACUAAGGCAAACAGGGUAAAGUGACUUGCCCAGGGUCACACAACUAGUAAGUAUCUGAGGUCAAAUUUUUAGCCACUAUCAGGCAGGAAGCAGCAGGGAGUUCAUCAUCUCCAAGAUAUCAAAGUUUGAAGUCACAAAAAUGAUUGGCAGGAAACAGGAAGGAUAAUUUUGUGCAUCCCCUAUUCAAAUCUCAUUUUGUAUGUAUGUGUAUGUAUGUAUGUAACAUACUGGCUUUGUGACGCCGGGCAAAGCACUUUCAAUAUCUCCAAGCAACUCUCUAAGAUUAUAAUUUGGAAAAGUGAUACAGAUCUGCAUGGAGGUAGAGAGGUAGGAGAGAAUUAUUUACACUGUUGGAAUCAUAAGUAUAGACCAAAAAAAGUACGAGUUACUCUGUCAGACACUGAGAUUACAAAGAUAAAAGCCAAACCCCUUCCAUUUCAUCUUCAGGAAAAAGCUGUAUUGCAAUGAGCAUUAGAAGAUGUUAGAAAUGUCAGAGAGAAGAAGAGAUGUAAAUUGAAAGAAGUUUCUUAACAGUAAAAUAAUACAAAACAAAUUUUACUAAAAAUAAAAAUGUAAUAGAGUAAUAUUCCAGUUAUUGGAGUGGAAAGGGACACAGAGAAUGCUUAUGCACUAAAAAGCCUAAAGGUGAGCAGGGCAGAGAUGAUAGUAAGAGUUGAGGCAGAAGAAGGAAGAAAAAGGAAUGAGGGAAGUCCAGGAACCAUGAGAGUGUAGCAGUCCACCCCUAGCUAUGGGCAAGGGAAACAGUUGGUAUGUACAGAUUGCCUUAGAAGAGAGCAUGCUCAGUCUUGAGCAUGCUCAGUAUUGCACAUGGCUGGGAAAGCCUCUGACCCUUGACCCCAGCUUCCCCCAGGUUAGGUGGGAACACAGGUUUCUUUGUGCUUACCUGGUUAAGAGAAACCACACCUAUACCUUGUCAUUAACCAAUGAGAAUCAUCCCUAUGUACUAUGUAUAUUUGCAUAUAAAUAGGGCCCAGCCAGCUCCGCCUUUCUCUCUUCUGCUCUUCCUCCCUUCCAGCUCGCACUGAUGCCUGUCCAAGCUGGGGCCUGGCCUUGGGCCAGGCUCCAUUUCUAAUCUUUCUCUAUCAUCUCUCCGACCUGUGUGGUAUUGAAUCUGGAUCUCUGGACUGGUAAAAGCCUUCGGAAGGGUCCUUUGAUCAGAGCUUGGCUGUGGCUCAUUGGUAAUUAAUAAAGACUCAUUCCUGCCACCUCA